GACGAACGCUGGCGGCGUGCUUAACACAUGCAAGUCGAACGGAAAGGCCUCUUUCGGGGGGUACUCGAGUGGCGAACGGGUGAGUAACACGUGAGUAACCUGCCCUUUUCUUUGGGAUACCUUCAGGAAACUGGGGCUAAUACCGGAUAGGAGCUCCUGCGGCAUGGUGGGGGUUGGAAAGUUUCGGGGGUUGGGGGGGGACUCGCGGCUUAUCAGCCUGUUUGUGGGGGAGUGGGUUACCAAGGCGUUUACGGGUAGCCGGGCUGGGAGGGGGAACCGCCAAAUUGGGGACGAGGAUAGGGCCAAGCUCCCAACGGAGGGAAGCGGGGGGAAUAUUGCACCAUGGGUGGGAGGCUGGUGCAGCAACGCCGUGUGCGGGAAGACGGGCUUCGGGUUGUAAACCGGUUUUGCUCAUGAACAAGCUUUGUGUGACGGUAGUGGGUAAAGAAGCACCGGCUAACUACGUG
rnacentral:rRNA from 1 species